rnacentral:rRNA from 1 species
UACGUAGGGGGCAAGCGUUAUCCGGAUUUACUGGGUGUAAAGGGAGCGUAGACGGCGUAUCAAGUCUGAUGUGAAAGGCAUGGGCUCAACCCGUGGACUGCAUUGGAAACUGGUAUGCUUGAGUGCCGGAGGGGUAAGCGGAAUUCCUAGUGUAGCGGUGAAAUGCGUAGAUAUUAGGAGGAACACCAGUGGCGAAGGCGGCUUACUGGACGGUAACUGACGUUGAGGCCCGAAAGCGUGGGGAGCAAACAGG